rnacentral:ncRNA from 1 species
UGUUCUCAGGGCGGGGUGAAAUUCCCCACCGGCGGUAUGGUCGCUCACCGGAUGUGGGGGGCCGAGCCCGCGAGCGCUGCUCUUGUGGGCAGGCCAGCAGAUCCGGUGUGAAUCCGGGGCCGACGGUGAUAGUCCGGAUGAGAGAGAAC